rnacentral:rRNA from 1 species
UACAGAGGUCUCAAGCGUUGUUCGGAUUCAUUGGGCGUAAAGGGUGCGUAGGUGGCGCUGUAAGUCAGGUGUGAAAUUUCGGAGCUUAACUCCGAAACUGCAUUUGAUACUGCGGUGCUUGAGGACUGGAGAGGAGACUGGAAUUUACGGUGUAGCAGUGAAAUGCGUAGAGAUCGUAAGGAAGACCAGUGGCGAAGGCGGGUCUCUAGACAACUCCUGACACUGAGGCACGAAAGCUAGGGGAGCAAACAGG